UGUACAGCAUGCUUUUCCUUUGGUAGGUGAUGUCAGACUAGCUGGAGACAGCAGCACAAGCUGGAACACUGUGCAGAUUUAAAUGGCAGUUUUCCUUUUCUUGGCCCAUGCACUGUUCCAUGGAUCAGCCUUUCCUUGGCUGCAAAGGGGGACAAAUGAGGGAUCUGCUGUUCCUUAACAGAAAGAGAAAACCCAAUGCCAGAGGUGUGUUUAAUCUGAUGUCCAGUCUUGAACAAACAAGUGCAGUGCAGGAAGAGAAAAUUUCAAUGAACCCCAUCAGUCAAGAGGCCGAGCCUCUCAGCUUUCUCCAGGCUCCUCUCUGAACAGGUGUUUGCAGCUUCACUGGGUAAAAGGAAUCACAGAUGCAGAUUAUUUCAUGCAUAGAGGAGGGGUUAAGCCCUCCAAAUGUUUAAACAGUUGUUCUUUGUAUGAAGGAAAACAUGAGCUCAAGCAAUUCUGCUGAACACAGCUGUGAGUUCCAAGGGAAGCCAGCGCUCGACCAGGCCAGUGCAAAGUCACCAAGGACUUUGGGGUAUUGCUCGUAAGUGAUCACAGAAAGUGCUGAGGAACACCACAGGCAAGCCAAACACUGCACUUCACAGACACUCCACCUGCUAAGCAAGGGUCAGCCUUAGUAUUUUAUCACCAAAGGCAGCUGUACCUUGCUCCUGCACAUACAGCUAAUGCCAGCCACCCAAAAGCAGUAGCUGUGUGGCCGCUGUGUCCCUCUGGAUCCCCAGCCUGGUUUUCAUUCAGGUAUUUCCCUCUGCUGCAAAACACCAGGAACUGAUCCAUGUCACACAAGCAAUGGUUGCUGGCUUCCCAUGAACAAGAUGAGGCCAUUUGCUUGCUGGGCAUCAGGCUGACUUGUCAAAUCUGCCUCUUCUGUUCCCAAACUUCACUGCUGUGUUUGUGAACCUGUCCUGUCUUAUUCUGCAACAGCUGCUUCUACUCCUUAUCCCCACCAGAACUGCACAGAUACUAUGCCAAAUUCCUAUCACCCCUUCCUAGAUAUCCCAGUACUGCAAGCUCACCUGGGAUUAUGGUGUAAAUACGUAUUUGGACAACACUACAACACUCAC